rnacentral:rRNA from 1 species
CCUACGGGAGGCAGCAGUGGGGAAUAUUGGGCAAUGGGCGCAAGCCUGACCCAGCAACGCCGCGUGAAGGAAGAAGGCUUUCGGGUUGUAAACUUCUUUUCUCAGGGACGAAGCAAGUGACGGUACCUGAGGAAUAAGCCACGGCUAACUACGUGCCAGCAGGCGCGGCAAGACGUAGGUGGCAAGCGUUAUCCGGAUUUACUGGGUGUAAAGGGCGGGUAGGCGGGAAAGCAAGUCAGAUGUGAAAACCAUGGGCUCAACCUGUGGCGUGCAUUUGAAACUGUUUUUCUUGAGUACUGGAGAGGCAGACGGAAUGCCUGGUGUAGCGGUGAAAUGCGUAGAUAUUAGGAGGAACACCAGUGGCGAAGGCAGUCUGCUGGACAGCAACUGACGCUGAGGGGCGAAAGCGUGGGGAGCAAACAGGAUUAGAUACCCCAGUAGUC